GCUUGCAACUACACCUACUAUUUCACCUACUAUAUCAAGGGAGCAGCAGCAGCAAAGGAUAUCUCUGGAGCAAGUAGCCACAUUUAACGUAAGAGACAUCCUUCUUGCAACACCCAAUGGCAGAGGUAUUGUAGAUACUAUUAAAACCAAGAACUGCAUUUCACUUAAUGAGAGACAAGCCAUGGUUCGGAUCUUGGUGUCACAUCUUAUUGAACGCUUUGGAGAAAACCCAAGUGCAAGUACAAAAGUUACCCUGGCUUCAUCAGUAGUUGAACAAUUUCCAUGCCUUAAGGAUUGCCAGGGCAAAGGCUAUGUGAGUACAGUGUCUAACACAG